GAUGAACGCUGGCGGCGUGCCUAAUACAUGCAAGUCGAGCGAACAGAUAAGGAGCUUGCUCCUUUGACGUUAGCGGCGGACGGGUGAGUAACACGUGGAUAACCUACCUAUAAGACUGGGAUAACUUCGGGAAACCGGAGCUAAUCCCGGAUAACAUAUUGAACCGCAUGGUUCAAUAGUGAAAGGCGGCUUUUCUGUCACUUAUAGAUGGAUCCGCGCCGUAUUAGCUGGUUGGUAAGGUAACGGCUUACCAAGGCAACAAUACGUAGCGGACCUGAGAGGGUGAUCGACGAAGCAGGAAAUGAGACAGGGGCGAGAGUGCUAGGGGAGGCAGAAGGUGGGAAUCGUCCGCAAUGGGCGAACGCCGGACAGAGAAACGCCGAGUGAGAUAUGAGGGUCUACGGAUCUGAAAACUCUGUUAACAGGGAAGAACAAAUGUGUAAGUAACUGUGAGAAGCUUGACGGUACCUGAUCAGAAAACCACGGCUAACUACAUG
rnacentral:rRNA from 1 species